ensembl:lncRNA
GCUCGUCACCCAGUCACCCCCACCUCCCCUUUCACCCCCCCUAGUUCGUUUCCCAGAGUUACCAGUCUCUCAUGUUCUGUCUCCCUUUCUGAUAUUUCCCACUCAUUUUUCUCCUUCCCACUUUGACCACACCUGCUUCCCAUGCAUCCUCUCGUGCCCAGCCCCUGAGUGCAGCACAGCCCUUUGAUGGAUCUUUGCCAAGUGAGGGGCAAAACUACAUGUUCUCCCAAGGCCUAGGGACUCCUAUGGCAUGCUAUUUCCUGGGAUCACUCUCCAACCUCCCACCCGGGGCCAUGUCCCUGGCUGGUGAGCCUGCGGAGGGGCCCAGAGGGAGGGGCACACACACGUCAUAAUGGGCAUUGAGGCAGGGGAUGACGCGAGGGCUGGCGUGGGACAUAAAUAAUGGGGUAAGUCUGACCUUUGUCCAGUUACUCAUUUGGUCAAGAUGAGUAACUAGCCAAACGGCGUUUGGAGAAAUGACAAAAAAGCUGCCUCGGAUUUCUUCUUCUCGACCCCAGGCUCGACCUACACACUCUAUCCCUCCCUCCUCCCGACCCCGGGCUCCACCUACUCACUCGAUUCCUCCCUCCUCCCGACCCCAGGCUCCACCUACCCACUCCAUUCCUCCCUCCUCCCGACCCCAGGCUCCACCUACCCACUCCAUUCCUCCCUCCUCCCGACCCCAGGCUCCACCUACCCACUCCAUUCCUCCCUCCUCCCGACCCCAGGCUCCACCUACCCACUCCAUUCCUCCCUCCUCCAGACCCCAGGCUCCACCUACCCACUCCAUCCCUUCCUCCUCCCGACCCCAGGCUCCACCUACCCACUACAUUCCUUCCUCCUCUCAACCCCGGGCUGCUUCUAUCUUCUCUAUUCCUGCCUCCUGUCAUUGUUCACAGCUGUUUCCUCUUUUGUGUAACUCUUUUCGUCCACAGAACACUCCCCUGCAUCAGCCACCUUUCUCAACUCGUAAACCUAUCUCUUUCCCUCCUGUUCAUAGUGCUGUCCCUCCCUGCCGCCCUAACCUACAGGUUUCCCCACCCAAAUCUGGCUCUAUUCCUUCCAAAACG